rnacentral:rRNA from 1 species
UACGGAGGGGGCUAGCGUUGUUCGGAAUUACUGGGCGUAAAGCGCACGUAGGCGGACUGUUAAGUCGGGGGUGAAAUCCUGGAGCUCAACUCCAGAACUGCCUUCGAUACUGGCGAUCUUGAGUCCGGAAGAGGUGAGUGGAACUCCUAGUGUAGAGGUGGAAUUCGUAGAUAUUAGGAAGAACACCAGUGGCGAAGGCGGCUCACUGGUCCGGUACUGACGCUGAGGCACGAAAGCGUGGGGAGCAAACAGG